rnacentral:rRNA from 1 species
UACGGAGGGAGCUAGCGUUGUUCGGAAUCACUGGGCGUAAAGCGCACGUAGGCGGAUGUGUCAGUCAGGGGUGAAAUCCCGGAGCUCAACUUCGGAACUGCCUUUGAUACUGGGGAUCUCGAGUCCGGGAGAGGUGAGUGGAACUCCGAGUGUAGAGGUGAAAUUCGUAGAUAUUCGGAAGAACACCAGUGGCGAAGGCGGCUCACUGGCCCGGUACUGACGCUGAGGUGCGAAAGCGUGGGGAGCAAACAGG